CGGUUCCGGUGUAGCGGAUCGGGUUCGCCAUGACACCUCAAACGGGAGUACUCAUCGUUUUCCCACUUGCGCUUGGUGUAGCCAGCAAUGAAGGUGGCUGCUAUAUACUGCAUGGAGUCCAAGUCUAAGGUGGUCAGCUAUGUCAGGAUGAAGCUAACUAUCUCCUUCCCAGCCACUGAUUGCCAGCCACUCCUGGAAGAUGAAUGCAAGCUCUGUACCUUCCAGGAGAAGCGAAUGUCACAGAAGUAGUUGCUGAUCCUAUGGGUGAAUAGUCUGCAUGGUCUGAACCAGUGGUGAGAACAGCAAACAAGGAUUUCCCUUAAAAGGUCCCAGCAAGGUGUCUGGACCCACAGCAGAGUGCACCUGCUGUUGUCUAACACUCUUCUGAGAGACCAAGGGAAGCUGGAGAGAGGGGACAGAGUCCGUCCGCAGACGCAUUAUGGAUGCCAGUCUGAGUCCUCAACUUGGUUAUCAUAAGCAAAGGAGACAAGGAGAUUCCUGGGCUGACAGAUAGUACUGUGCCUCUGCGGUUGGGGCCCAAAAGAACUGCAGAAUCUGAAAGCUUUUCAGUCUUCCUAAAGAAGCUGAGGGUGUCGGCCAGUACAUUGUCAGAAAGUAAGCAAAGGUAAGAAGGCCAGGACUAAAGCCCCAGAGACCCCGCGUCGUCACUCCACAAUUCCUGCAACAAAACACCCGUUGUAUUGUUCUGUAGAGACGGUGUGCUAUGGAGACCAAGGAGAGGCUGCAGAGCUGAGUGUUGGGCCAAGAGAAUGAAGGAAGCCAGAGAAAACAUGCCAGGGUCAGACCGCAUGUAAGCUGCUUCUACUUCCAAGUCUAAGUCCAGUAAAAAUGAGUAACCAAAAAUGGUACAACCUUCAAAAAAUACUUCUUUGGGGGCAGCAGUGGGUAAGGGCGCUUACAUCCAAGUCUGCUGACCUGAGCGCCAUCCCUGGGACCUACCUGGUGGAAGAAGAGAACGGACUCCAGCAAGUUGUCCUCUGUCUCCCAUGUGU